ACACACACUGAAGCAGCCAUAACAUCACUAAUUGAAACUACAACAGCCCUAAUCCAACACUGUAUAGAACACAAUCACAGAUUCAAUCUUGACCAAACUCAAAUUAUUGACCACAGUUACAAACCGACGACACUACCAUUUCUAGAAAUGUGUCACAUUACAAACUCAGACCACACAAUCAACAAACGAACAGACGUAGAUAGACUCAGUACCACAUACGCAGCUUUGUUGCACAGCAUCAAGACGAUACAUGAACGCGACAAACCGAGCACAACACGACAAUCUGACGAUGAAGCAUAGUUAUUAAGAUAGGGCAUUUCUGCUACCAAAGCUUGUUCAACCAUAAGAAGGGGGUUGCUAGAAGUAGAUUUGCGCCAACAGCGUACAGUCCGUUGCAAAACUAGACAAACGAAAAUUGUCAUGUACCAACAACAAAACAACCAGACAGUUACAGUUAGACGAAACAUAAGACCAAAAACGAACAAUUAGUUACCCCUGAAGAUGACACAAAACCCCAGUGUCGAAACGUCGGGCAAACAAUAAACUUCGUUUUCCGUUUUGAAGACUGCGUAGCCGUU